AUUGAAUGCUGGCGGCAUGCCUUACACAUGCAAGUCGAACGGCAGCACGGACUUCGGUCUGGUGGCGAGUGGCGAACGGGUGAGUAAUAUAUCGGAACAUACCUUGUAGUGGAGGAUAACUAGCCGAAAGGAUAGCUAAUACCGCAUACGAUCUAAGGAUGAAAGCGGGGGAUCUUCGGACCUCGUUCUAUAAGAGUGGCCGCGAUCUGAUUAGCUAGUUGGUGAGGUAAAGGCUCAACAAGGCGACGAUCAGUAGCUGGUCUGAGAGGACGACCAGCCACACUGGAACUGAGACACGGUCCAGACUCCUACGGGAGGCAGCAGUGGGGAAUUUUGGACAAUGGGGGCAACCCUGAUCCAGCAAUGCCGCGUGAGUGAAGAAGGCCUUCGGGUUGUAAAGCUCUUUUGUCAGGGAAGAAACGGUUGUGGCUAAUAUCCAUGGCUAAUGACGGUACCUGAAGAAUAAGCACCGGCUAACUACGUGCCAGCCGCCGCCGUAAGAC
rnacentral:rRNA from 1 species